CUACGGAGGGGGUUAGCGUUGUUCGGAAUUACUGGGCGUAAAGCGCACGUAGGCGGAUUGGAAAGUUGGGGGUGAAAUCCCAGGGCUCAACCCUGGAACUGCCUCCAAAACUAACAGUCUAGAGUUCGAGAGAGGUGAGUGGAAUUCCAAGUGUAGAGGUGAAAUUCGUAGAUAUUUGGAGGAACACCAGUGGCGAAGGCGGCUCACUGGCUCGAUACUGACGCUGAGGUGCGAAAGCGUGGGGAGCAAACAGGAUUAGAAACCCCUGUAGUCC
rnacentral:rRNA from 1 species